UCGCUUCACAUCCUUUCAGCUCUGUGAGUCAGCGGUGGCCACGGUGCUCACUGCCUUUGCUACUUGCUUCUGGACAGGGAGUCAAGCAGAUCAGAGGCUUGACUCCACACUCUACAUUUUUGUUCCAUUUCUGUUUCACUGAAAUGUUUGUCUUGAUUUUGAGUCCAGAUCCCAGAGAGGAAUGGAAUGAUUUCCUUUGUGACCUGACAAUGUGACAGCCAAGAGACCUAGCCUAUGGUUAGAGCUUUGUUUCCUCAAGAUGGCUUCAAGAGGAAGAUUAAGUACUUCUGAACAUGUUGGCAAGCAAGGUCAGAGCCUCCCCGGUGGCGCAGUGGUUGAGCGCUGGGUUGCGAAGCUGGUUCAAUGCCUGGCCACUGAGCGAGGGGCCCACAUGGCCCGCAGACCUCUCCUGCCUGCUCUGCUCUGCCUCUGGUGAAUUCUCUCGCCCUCCUGCACUUUUGAC